AUAGGACCCUGUCCUCCUAUUUUCAGUUGGUUUGCCGCGAGGACCAGGGUAAUGAUUAAUAGGGAUAGUUGGGGGCAUUAAUAUUUAAUUGUCAGAGGUGAAAUUCUUGGAUUUAUGAAAGAUUAACUUCUGCGAAAGCAUCUGCCAAGGAUGUUUUCAUUAAUCAAGAACGAAAGUUAGGGGAUCGAAGACGAUCAGAUACCGUCGUAGUCUUAACCAUAAACGAUGCCGACCAGCGAUUAGGAGACGUUGAAUACAAAACACCACCAUGCGCAUUGCGGUCGUCUUUGGUGUCGCUCACAAGGCGGCACCGGGGCGGCUUAGCUCGCAUGGCACCGGU
rnacentral:rRNA from 1 species